UCUCUGCUGAGCCUUGGAGUGCCCGGGGCGCAUUCCUUGACUCUUCCUUCUCAGUUUUGAUUGAAGACCUGACCGGAAGCAACUUAAAACAGGGAGCUGAAGCAGCAUGAUAGUUGUGUACUGCUGGGGUUCCUCUCAUCUCAAGGCAUCAGGAUGCAGGACAGGAUCUUCUACUAAUCCCCUUCUUGCAGAUAGAUUUCACCUCUUAAAGGUUGCACAAUUGCCUCAAAUAGCUCACCAGGAGGGGGACGAGUGCUCAAGCAGCAGCCCGUGAGGGAUGCCACAGGCAAAGGUCACACUGAAUUUGAUUACUUUUUACCAUCGUGAUACCACAGUCCCACUUAGAUAGAUAGCUUUUGAUCUCUAUUCAAGUCCCGGGGUACUUUCUUUUCCAUCCCCUGUCUUUGCUUUCCCUGACUAUAGAACAGCCAGAAUCCAGUUCCCCACAAUGCUUUUCCCUGUUUGGUUGUGCCUUCCUUUCAUCCUCAGUGCUGCCCUCUGUGCUAAGAAUAAAACAGGUUGAUAUGAACCCAGAGAUGGGAUGUGAUUGGUAGACACGAGACUACAGAAGUCUCUUGGAAGAGGCUGCAUUUAAACUGCAAAGUAACUGAUGACCAGGAGCGGCAUGGCAGAAUCAGCUCAAAGUGGAACUAUGUCUUCGUGGAAGCCACACGACGAUGGAAGUCAAGCAAUCGGGAUUGGGAUAUCGGAAGUCACCAGGUACAAAGACUGACAAAGCUACAGUAUUUUGGCAGAAUCUCGCACGGCAAUCUGCUUUCCCUUUAUAAUAAUCACCCUUUAG
ensembl:lncRNA